CAGUCGGUUGCAAGCUUAAAUA
rnacentral:miRNA from 1 species